GGUUCUGCGAAGUUCUUUUAUGAUUAGUCAUGCCACGUGCUGAUAUUGACCUUUCUUAUCACUACCCACUUCCUGUACAUAUCCGCACCCUUCUAUGUUGUCCUUUUUUUGUGCUUUAUCCUUAAACUUCUUUUCAGAAAUUUUGAAUGAAACUAAAGACACUUUCGAAAAAAAUGUUUACUCCUAGUUUACUAAAAGGGCUUAAGAUUGUUUCUUGGGAUUUUUAGUGAUGUGCAAAAAUAUAUUCGACUGAAAUUUCAGCAACAUUCUGUUGCGGCAAAAUGACAAUUUCACAGCCACAUUUCUCAUAAAUUUAGAGAAUAAACCUGGACUUUAGCUAAUAUUGUGCAAUGCUCGGUUCACGCAAUUUUUUCGUGUGAUUGUGUAUUGCAGGCUUAUGUCAGGUCUGGCAUCUGGAUUGGCAAGCAGGCUUCGGGGACGUUGGUCUGGGUCAUGUCUGAUUUGAUGUUCUGGCAUUUGGUGUCCGAUGUUUUCGACAGUAGAUGAGCUGAAAAAAAAAACCGAAGCACGACUGGAACUUUGUCCGAAAAGUCUUGGUGAAAGGAAAGGGCAACAUCCUGCCCAGCCUCCACAUCACAGAAGCUGUCGUCCCUUAAAGUUGACACGCAGAUGCCAUUGGCUCAGGAGGACAGCAUCGACUUCGUUAUUGGUCAUCAAAGGACGAUGGAAAGGCCUCUUCGGAGUCUACAUGGGGUCUGCAGUGAGCGAGGACGAGGGAAGAAAAGGAUGAAGGAUGUGCGGCGGCACCUCUCCCAGAAACUGGCGGAUUGCCAGAGAAAGUAGAACAAU